rnacentral:rRNA from 1 species
UUGACCUCGGAUCAGGUAGGAAUACCCGCUGAACUUAAGCAUAUCAAUAAGCGGAGGAAAAGAAACCAACAGGGAUUCCCCUAGUAACGGCGAGUGAAGCGGGAACAGCUCAAAUUUGAAAUCUGGCCCUCGGGUCCGAGUUGUAAUUUGUAGAGGAUGCUUUUGGUGCGGUGCCUUCCGAGUUCCCUGGAACGGGACGCCUUAGAGGGUGAGAGCCCCGUACGGUUGGACGCCUAGCCUCUGUAAAGCUCCUUCGACGAGUCGAGUAGUUUGGGAAUGCUGCUCUAAAUGGGAGGUAUAUUUCUUCUAAAGCUAAAUACUGGCCAGAGACCGAUAGCGCACAAGUAGAGUGAUCGAAAGAUGAAAAGCACUUUGAAAAGAGGGUUAAAUAGCACGUGAAAUUGUUGAAAGGGAAGCGUUUAUCACCAGACUUUUUCUGGGGGGAUCAUCCGGUGUUCUCACCGGUGCACUUCCCCCAGUUGAGGCCAGCAUCGGUUUUCGGAGGGGGAUAAAAGCUUCGGGAAUGUGACUCCCUCGGGAGUGUUAUAGCCCGUUGCAUAAUACCCUUCUGGGGACCGAGGUUCGCGCAUCUG